UCUCACACUUUUCACCGUUUUCCCUAAAUCCUGACCCUAUAUAUCCUGACCCUAUAUAUAUAUAUAUAGGGUCAGGAUUUAGAGAAAACGGUGGAAAGUGUGAGAA
rnacentral:pre_miRNA from 11 species